rnacentral:rRNA from 1 species
UACAGAGGGGGGCAAGCGUUGUUCGGAAUUACUGGGCGUAAAGCGUGCGCAGGCGGUUUUGUAAGUCUGUCGUGAAAUCCCCCGGGCUCAACCUGGGAAUUGCGAUGGAGACUGCAAGGCUAGAAUCUGGCAGAGGGGGGUAGAAUUCCACGUGUAGCAGUGAAAUGCGUAGAGAUGUGGAGGAACACCGAUGGCGAAGGCAGCCCCCUGGGUCAAGAUUGACGCUCAUGCACGAAAGCGUGGGGAGCAAACAGG